GGAGCCGGCCAGACAGUCGCGUCAUGCGCAAGCAUGCCGAGGAAAGUCCGGGCUCCACAGGGCACGGUGCCAGGUAACGCCUGGGCGGCGCGAGCUGACGGAAAGUGCAACAGAAAGAUACCGCCGAACGGCUCUCCGGAGUGCGUGGCAAGGGUGAAAUGGUGCGGUAAGAGCGCACCGCGAGUCCGGCAACGGACCGGCACGGCAAACCCCACCGGGAGCAAGACCAAAUAGGGAGGCUAUGCCGCGGCCCGCGGUGCCUCCGGGUAGGUUGCUUGAGCGUAGCGGUGACGCUGCGCCUAGAGGAAUGACUGUCCAAGACAGAACCCGGCUUAUCGGCCGGCUCCGCCU
rnacentral:RNase_P_RNA from 2 species